rnacentral:rRNA from 1 species
UACGGGAGGCAGCAGUGGGGAAUAUUGCGCAAUGGGGGCAACCCUGACGCAGCAACGCCGCGUGAGUGAGGAAGGUUUUCGGACCGUAAAGCUCUGUCGAGCGGGAAGAAAUGUAUCGUGGCUAAUAUCCAUGAUAUUUGACGGUACCGCUAAAGGAAGCACCGGCUAACUCCGUGCCAGCAGCCGCGGUAAUACGGGGGGUGCAAGCGUUGUUCGGAAUUAUUGGGCGUAAAGAGCGUGUAGGCGGCUGAAUAAGUCAGAUGUGAAAUCCCUGGGCUUAACCCAGGAAGUGCAUUUGAAACUAUUCAGCUUGAGUAGGGGAGAGGAAAGUGGAAUUCCUGGUGUAGAGGUGAAAUUCGUAGAUAUCGGGAGGAACACCGGUGGCGAAGGCGACUUUCUGGCCCUAUACUGACGCUGAGACGCGAGAGCGUGGGUAGCAAACAGGAUUAGAUACCCUGGUAGUCCACGCUGUAAACGAUGUUCACUAGGUGUUGGGGGUAUUGACCCUCUCAGUGCCGCAGCUAACGCAUUAAGUGAACCGCCUGGGGAGUACGGUCGCAAGAUUAAAACUCAAAGGAAUUGACGG